ACGCGGGAAAGGCAUUUUGGGGACACAGGAGAGCUGCGAGGGCGAAGCACGGGCGAGCUGUCGUUAGGGCCCAGGAAAGGCCCGUUGCGGGGCGCACAGGCGGGCAGGGGAACUCGCGCCCCGCGCCGCGCGCCCGGCCUCCUGACGCCAGGGCCGGCUUCUGAGCACAGCCACCGCGGCGGCCGGGGGCGGCCACUGCUCCCCGCGAGCCCGCUUCCGCGCCCCAGAAGCCCCCAGAGCCCGCGUCCGAGCUCCAGGCCUUGGAGGAGCCAGGCGGGCAGCUGACAGCCCCGGAGCCGCUCCCGGGUUCCGCGCGCGGUGGCAGCCAGGCCGUGCCUCCCCGUUCCCCUCCCGCGCCGCGCUGCCCCUCCGGGACCCACCAGGCCUGGCUGCGCCUCUUUCCUCUCCUCCCCCGGAGCCUUGGAAAGUGCCCUCCAGAGAUGUGCUUAGGAAGUGUGUGAUGAAUAAAGGAGACAAUCAGGAUAACUAUAAUAUUUAUUAUGCACUUGCUU
rnacentral:lncRNA from 1 species